rnacentral:sRNA from 1 species
GUCGCAGGUUCGAAUCCUGCACGACCCACCAAUUUCAGCAUUUAACUCAGAUGCUGAACGUGAAGGAUAACGUUGCGACAGCAACGGCCCGAAGGGCGGGGCGAAGUCGAGUCAUCCUGCACGACCCACCA